rnacentral:rRNA from 1 species
UACGAAGGGUGCAAGCGUUACUCGGAAUUACUGGGCGUAAAGCGUGCGUAGGUGGUUUGUUAAGUCUGUUGUGAAAGCCCCGGGCUCAACCUGGGAAUGGCAAUGGAUACUGGCAAGCUAGAGUGCGGUAGAGGGUAGUGGAAUUCCCGGUGUAGCGGUGAAAUGCGUAGAGAUGUGGAGGAACACCAGUGGCGAAGGCGACUCUUUGGCCUGAAACUGACGCUGAGGCGCGAAAGCGUGGGGAGCAAACAGG